rnacentral:rRNA from 1 species
AUGAAUGGCGAGAGGAAGGUGCACUGGAUUUCAUGGCAGAAAAUGUGUGCUUCCAAGCGUGACGGGGGUAUGGGCUUUCGUGAUCUAGAAGCCUUCAACCAAGCGCUCCUAGCCAAGCAAGCAUGGAUGAUCUUACAAACCCCCACGUCCUUGUGUGCAAGGGUGCUCAAGGCUAGAUAUUUUAAAGAUGGAUCAAUUAUGACAGCAACUUGUCCCUCGUCGGGAUCGUACACUUUUCGGGGUAUAUUGCAUGGUAGGGAUCUGUUGAGGGAAGGGUUGUCUGGCGGAUAG